GAUUCGAUUAAAUAUAAAAUCAAUUAUAUUUUUUAAGGUAUCGUGAAAAAUAAUUUAAUUAAUUAACUUUAAUUUGUGAUAGUUUAUAGCUAUGAGGAAGUAAAAGAAUGUUUAGUAUAUCCAAUGAUCAAAGUAUUAUUGCUUAGAAAACUUGAGAUGUUAAAUAAUGUUAAAAUCAGUAUAGUCGAUGAAAUAUACAGAUAUGAUAGAAAAGAACAAGAUAUAUUGGCAGCUAACCCAUGGGAAAAAGAAUAUGUCUAAUAUAAAUGUAUAAUCAUUUGUACAAGUUUAACAUCUUUCUUUAGACGUUCAUAAUAAGUAAAAAUCAUAUUUAAUUUUACUAAUGUAUUGGAUUUUCUCGAUAUAGUCCUCAUUUUUUCAAAGAUAUUAAAAUCUUAGCAUUAGCAUCGUUAAAAAUGGUAAUGCAUACAUUCUGGUGGAACGUUAAAGGUAAUGGGUCUUCUGCUUGAAAAAGUAACAGCAAAUACAAUGAUUGUUAUGGAUUCUUUUGCAUUACCUGUUGAAGAGACAGAAAUAAGGGUCGGCAAACAAGAGAAUGCUAUUGGCUGAUAUUAUAAUCAUCCAGGUUAUGGAUGUGGGUUGUCUGAUAUUGAUGUAUCUACACAAAUGCUUAGUCAAAAUUUUCAAAAACCAUUUGUUGCUGUUGUAAUUGAUCCUGUGCGAACUAUUUCUGCGGAUAAAGUUUGCUUAGGAGCAUUUAUAACUUAUCUAAAAAUACAUUGAGAAAGUCAUAUAGAAUCAUAAAUUAUAAUAUAUUUUAUCAUAAUGUAUUAAUAUCAAAAUAAUUUGUACUAUAUUAAUGUCAAUGACUAUUCUUAAUUUGGAAGGAUAUAAGCCUGCUAAUGAGGAACCAUCAAAAUAUCAAAUAAUACCUUUAAAUAAAAUCGAAGACUUUGAUGUAUAUUGUAAACAAUAUUAUUCAUUAGAAGUAUCAUAUUUCAAAUCGUCAUUAGAUAGACGAUUGCUAGAUUCUUUAUGGUAUAAAUACUAGGUGGUUGUGAUUUUUCAUGUCUUAUUAUGACACAAGCAUGUAUUCAAAGAUAUAUACAUAUACUUUAAAAAUUUAAUGAAACAAAAAUAUAUUUUAUUUUCACAUUUU